GGCGUGAUCGUAUAGUGGUUAGUACUUCGCGUUGUGGCCGCAAUAACCCAGGUUCAAAUCCUGGUCAAGGCA
rfam:Nematostella vectensis strain CH2 x CH6 NEMVEscaffold_341_Cont24407, whole genome shotgun sequence.